rnacentral:lncRNA from 1 species
UUUUUUGAAAGGCACACGACUGUGCUUUCAUAAGGGAAGCAAUAAGGAAUGGCAAGAUGUUGAAGAUUUUGCUAGAGCUGAAGGCUGUGAUAAUGAGGAAGAUCUUCAAAUGGGCAUUCACAAGGGCUAUGGUUCUGAUGGUCUAAAGUUGUUAUCACAUGAAGAAAGUGUAUCAUUUGGCGAGUCUGUACUGAAGUUGACUUUUGAUCCUGGUACAGUAGAAGAUGGUUUACUUACCGUAGAGUGUAAGCUGGACCACCCUUUCUAUGUUAAAAAUAAAGGUUGGUCAUCAUUUUAUCCAAGCUUGACUGUGGUACAGCAUGGCAUUCCAUGUUGUGAAGUUCAUAUUGGCGAUGUAUGUCUACCUCCUGGACACCCCGAUGCCAUUAAUUUUGAUGAUUCAGGUGUUUUUGAUACAUUUAAAAGCUAUGACUUCACACCUAUGGAUUCUUCUGCAGUUUAUGUGUUAAGUAGUAUGGCUCGCCAGCGUCGUGCAUCUUUGUCUUGUGGAGGACCUGGUGGUCAAGACUUUGCAAGAUCUGGAUUCAGUAAAAACUGUGGCUCACCUGGAUCAUCACAGCUCUCUUCCAAUUCUUUGUAUGCUAAAGCUGUCAAAAACCACAGCUCAGGGACUGUGAGUGCCACUUCUCCUAAUAAGUGCAAAAGACCAAUGAAUGCCUUCAUGCUUUUUGCCAAAAAAUACAGAGUUGAAUAUACUCAGAUGUAUCCAGGGAAAGAUAACAGAGCCAUAAGUGUGAUCCUUGGUGACAGGUGGAAGAAAAUGAAGAAUGAAGAGAGAAGAAUGUACACAUUAGAAGCAAAGGCUUUGGCUGAAGAACAGAAACGUUUAAAUCCUGACUGUUGGAAGAGGAAAAGAACCAAUUCAGGCUCACAACAACAUUAAACCAGGAUGCUUAUGUUCUUAAGUCUAUAUUUGCAUAUACAUUGACUCUUGAUGGAAAGACUUAAGAAGAUCAAGGUCUCACCAUUUGUCCUCAAUUCGUGUGACCAUAAGAUACUGAUAGCAUUGAGUCUUGAAAUGAUUUAAUAAUAUGAGUGAGGAUUUGCUUUCUCCAUUAGAGCAUUAAGCUAAAACUAUCAACAUUUUAAACCAAAUUGCCUUAUUUUUCUUCCAAACUUCAUAUAUGUCUAUCAGGUAAUAAUAGGCUUGAAAAUUGAUAUCCUGUGGUGCUAAAGUACAGUAGAAAGAGAGGAGAAGUGUAUACAUGUUUUAUUUUAAAUUGUACGAAAGGGGAAUUUAAAAAAUAUGUAACUGCUGUUUAUACAUUGGCUCCUUACUGCUUAUUAAUCUGUAUUGUACACAUGAUGAAAUGAAGCAGAAGCUGGGAGUCGGCCUUUCCUCUAGUAACCACCACAUGGCUCAGCAUCUGUGCCAAACAUAGGCGCUCCUAGUCUGGUCAGUGCCAAGAGGCUACCAGAACAUGGGGCAGGUGGCUGGUGUUGGUGUCCCAGCCUAAGAGCCACCUGCUGCAGUUACCAUGGCAUGCUGAGUUGAUGCACCAGGUGGCAGCAGCCAUCCGUUAUUAUUUCCAAUGGAGACCUAGCCCAGGCCAAGGUAAAGUUAGUUAAUAGCAUUGGGAUAUAGUCACUGUAAUGGUGCUAUUAACAAACAGUCAACACCAUUGUAUUUUUUAACUUCGUGUUCUGUAUCUCCUCAGCCAUGUAUCUUAAAUAUAUUUUGUCAUCAUAAUCUUUAUGGUGGGGGCAGACUUUGCACUUACUGCAGUGCAACACUUGCACUUUAAUUUUCCUCCAACUGUCUAAAAUUAGAGCAAAUACAUUGGCAAUACAGCUGCUUUUGCUCUGAGCUACAAUCAUGGCUUUUCAUGUUACUUACCAAGUGGUGUUUCUGGUUAGGAAUCACAGCUGUAAAAUUGAUUUCAGUUCAUCACACUUCUUCAUGAUGUUGCCCCUAAAUUUUGCACACUAUAUUCUUGUAUAUUAUUUCAAAUAAAUGGAAAAAAAAGUUGCUU